rnacentral:rRNA from 1 species
ACACUCCUGCGGGAGGCAGCAGUGGGGAAUAUUGGACAAUGGGCGCAAGCCUGAUCCAGCCAUGCCGCGUGAGUGAUGAAGGCCCUAGGGUUGUAAAGCUCUUUCACCGGUGAAGAUAAUGACGGUAACCGGAGAAGAAGCCCCGGCUAACUUCGUGCCAGCAGCCGCGGUAAUACGAAGGGGGCUAGCGUUGUUCGGAUUUACUGGGCGUAAAGCGCACGUAGGCGGACUAUUAAGUCAGGGGUGAAAUCCCGGGGCUCAACCCCGGAACUGCCUUUGAUACUGGUAGUCUUGAGUUCGAGAGAGGUGAGUGGAAUUCCGAGUGUAGAGGUGAAAUUCGUAGAUAUUCGGAGGGACACCAGUGGCGAAGGCGGCUCACUGGCUCGAUACUGACGCUGAGGUGCGAAAGCGUGGGGAGCAAACAGGAUUAGAUACCCGGGUAGUCCCAUGA